AGUGAACGCUGGCGGUAGGCCUAACACAUGCAAGUCGAACGGCAGCACAGUAAGAGCUUGCUCUUACGGGUGGCGAGUGGCGGACGGGUGAGGAAUACAUCGGAAUCUACUUUUUCGUGGGGGAUAACGUAGGGAAACUUACGCUAAUACCGCAUACGACCUACGGGUGAAAGCAGGGGAUCUUCGGACCUUGCGCGAUUGAAAGAGCCGAUGUCGGAUUAGCUAGUUGGCGGGGUAAAGGCCCACCAAGGCGACGAUCCGUAGCUGGUCUGAGAGGAUGAUCAGUCACACUGGAACUGAGACACGGUCCAGACUCCUACGGGAGGCAGCAGUGGGGAAUAUUGGACAAUGGGCGCAAGCCUGAUCCAGCCAUACCGCGUGGGUGAAGAAGGCCUUCGGGUUGUAAAGCCCUUUUGUUGGGAAAGAAAAGCAGCAGGUUAAUACCCCGCUGUUCUGACGGUACCCAAAGAAUAAGCACCGGCUAACUUCGUG
rnacentral:rRNA from 1 species